GGUCCCAUCGUCUAGUGGCCCAGGACACCGCCCUCUCACGGCGAAAACGGGGGUUCGAACCCCCCUGGGACCGCCA
rnacentral:tRNA from 4 species